rnacentral:rRNA from 1 species
GCUUACGGCCACACAGCCUGGUUCACUCCUGAUCCCGUUUGAUCUCGGAAGCUAAGAUAGGUUGGCCCUGGUUAGUACUUGGAUGGGGAGACCGCCUGGGAAUACCAGGUGCUGUAAGCU